CUGAUGCAGCCAUGCCGCGUGUGUGAAGAAGGCCUUCGGGUUGUAAAGCACUUUCAGUUGUGAGGAAAAGUUAGUAGUUAAUACCUGCUAGCCGUGACGUUAACAACAGAAGAAGCACCGGCUAACUCCGUGCCAGCAGCCGCGGUAAUACGGAGGGUGCGAGCGUUAAUCGGAAUUACUGGGCGUAAAGCGCACGCAGGCGGUUUGUUAAGCUAGAUGUGAAAGCCCCGGGCUCAACCUGGGAUGGUCAUUUAGAACUGGCAGACUAGAGUCUUGGAGAGGGGAGUGGAAUUCCAGGUGUAGCGGUGAAAUGCGUAGAUAUCUGGAGGAACAUCAGUGGCGAAGGCGACUCCCUGGCCAAAGACUGACGCUCAUGUGCGAAAGUGUGGGUAGCGAACAGGAUUAGAUACCCUGGUAGUCCACACCGUAAACGCUGUCUACUAGCUGUGUGUGUCUUUAAGACGUGCGUAGCGAAGCUAACGCGCUAAGUAGACCGCCUGGGGAGUACGGCCGCAAGGUUAAAACUCANNNNANUUGACGGA
rnacentral:rRNA from 1 species